rnacentral:rRNA from 1 species
UACGUAGGUGGCAAGCGUUGUCCGGAUUUACUGGGCGUAAAGGAUGUGUAGGCGGAUACUUAAGUGAGAUGUGAAAGCCCCGGGCUUAACCCGGGCAGUGCAUUUCAAACUGGAUAUCUAGAGUGCAGGAGAGGAGAACGGAAUUCCUAGUGUAGCGGUGAAAUGCGUAGAGAUUAGGAAGAACAUCAGUGGCGAAGGCGGCUUUCUGGACUGUAACUGACGCUGAGGCAUGAAAGCGUGGGGAGCAAACAGGAUUAGAUACCCUGGUAGUCCACGCCGUAAACGAUGAGUACUAGGUGUAGGAGGUAUCGACUCCUUCUGUGCCGCAGUUAACACAAUAAGUACUCCGCCUGGGAAGUACGGUCGCAAGAUUAAA